UACGGAGGGGGCUAGCGUUGUUCGGAAUUACUGGGCGUAAAGCGCACGUAGGCGGACUGGAAAGUCAGAGGUGAAAUCCCAGGGCUCAACCUUGGAACUGCCUUUGAUACUGGGUGUCUUGAGUGUGAUAGAGGUAUGUGGAACUCCGAGUGUAGAGGUGAAAUUCGUAGAUAUUCGGAAGAACACCAGUGGCGAAGGCGGCUCACUGGACUGGUAUUGACGCUGAGGUGCGAAAGCGUGGGGAGCAAACAGG
rnacentral:rRNA from 1 species